AGAAACUCAGGAAUGCCAGGUAAGAGAAGUGAAGUGCACGCUUUUCUCAGAUAUAAACAACGAGCAGAAUGAGCAGAGUUUGGAAGAUGGCAGCUGUGGACUCCUCAACAGAGAGAGGACACAACCAAGAGAGCUGGAACCACACCUAA